GACGAACGCUGGCGGCGUGCUUAACACAUGCAAGUCGAACGGAGUGGCGAACGCGGGUGAAACACGUGUGUGAUCUGUCUUGCUCUUCGGGAUAAGCUUGGUAGACUCGGUUUCUAACCGGAUAGUGCAAGAUUAGCGCGUGGCCUAUCAGCUUGUUGGUGGGGUAAUGGCCUACCAAGGCGUCGACGGGUAGCCCGCCUGCGAGGGUGUACGGGCACAUGCGGCCUGAGGUACGGGCCAGACGGCAACGGGAGGCAGGGGUGGGGAAUAGUGCACACUACGCGGCAGGCUGGUGCAGCGACGCCGGGUGGGAGAUGAAUGUCUUCGGGUUGUAAACGCCUUUCGACAGAGAGGCGGUACCUGAAUAGGAAGCCCCGGCUAACUACGUGCCAGCAGCCGCGGUAAUAC
rnacentral:rRNA from 1 species